rnacentral:rRNA from 1 species
UACAGAGGAUGCAAGCGUUAUCCGGAAUGAUUGGGCGUAAAGCGUCUGUAGGUGGCUUUUUAAGUCCGCCGUCAAAUCCCAGGGCUCAACUCUGGACAGGCGGUGGAAACUACCAAGCUGGAGUACGGUAGGGGCAGAGGGAAUUUCCGGUGGAGCGGUGAAAUGCGUAGAGAUCGGAAAGAACACCGGUGGCGAAGGCGGUCUGCUGGGGUAAUGCUGACACUGAGGCGCGACAGCGUGGGGAGCAAACAGG